ACUUAUAUAAUAUAAAUAAUUAUAUUUGACUUCCAAUCAAAAAAUCUAUUUUAAAUAGUAUAAGUA
rnacentral:tRNA from 1 species